CUGGAUACAGAGAGAAGACCGUGGGAAGACACACAGGGAGGAGAUGGCCAUGUGCCUGGAGUGAUGCAUCUACAAGCCAAAGAGCACCAUGCAAUGCUGGCAGAGCUACCGAGAAGCUCAGAUCCAAAUCUGAAUGAAGCUCAAUUAUAGAAACCACAUUAGUCCUUACGGUUUUAUCUGCACAGAGAGGCUGAGAGCUCUACUAGAGUGGGGAUCAGCUCAUUCAUCUUUUUACCCUCCGUGCCUGUUCCACGCAGUACCUGGGGCAUAACAGGCAUGUCUCUUUUUGGAGCCAACCAACCUAUUGACCAAAUAAAAAAUUAAUAGACGUGAUUUGUUCAAGAUCCCCAAACUAAGUAUUGGAUAACUUAGGACUAGAAUGUCUAGCUUCUGAUUUCUAAGCUCCUAUUCUGGUGUUCUCCUUCCUAUUCCGGUGUU